GUGGGCGGUGCGUCCGUAGCCACGCUAUUUACCUGCAGCCCCGGAGCAGGUAAAAAAAGAACUUAAGUCCAGAAAGCGAAACCAACAGCAAAGGACUCCGAUCUCUUCCGUCCCGGAGCUUCGGGAAUCCUCGCCUAGUCGGCCCCCAACCUGUGAGCGCCCACCCACCAUAAGUCUCCGGCGCAGCAGGGAAGCCAGCAGACGCAUUAACUUCUCUGUGGCCACUCGGGGCAAGGCGAGGGGCCAAGCGUCUAAGACUCCGGAGCUCCCUCCCUCCACCUGACAGAAGAACCCAACACGUGUCCCAGGGGCUCCCAGGAGCGGGAUGCCGUGAAGCGAUGGAAGGCCACAAAUCACAGUGGGCUUGGACCCACUGUGGACCCACUGUGGACGUCUGCUUCCCCUGCCCCUGCGCAGACGCUAGGCGACGCCCUGGAGAGGAGGCGUGUUGCAAGGCCUGACCCCCCUGGGCUCUCCCCGACUGACUAUGGGCCCUGUGAGGGUCCACGCAUCUUCACUGAGACCGGCCCCCUAAACACUGCCCAGCGUCCGGAGCCGGGGCAGGGGUGAGGCCUGGCUUCACGCACGCAAGGCCUGCAGCCUCUGCCCCAGGGGCCCUCUGCUUCUGCUGUCCUCUCCGCUCGGCCGCUGCACACAGCCCCCCAGCGGGCAGAACCCGCACCUGGGGCUGGGAAGCGCCAAAGUUGUCUUCCCGCCGCCGUGCCUCCAAGCUGACCCCAGGUGACUGGGGUUGACAGGGGCCCGCGGAGAGCCCCGGAGCCCUCCUCCACCGGGCAGCCUGCGCGCCGUCCCCGGGGCCAGCAGCGCGGCUCGGAGGCCUCCAGCGCCGUUUUCCCCAUCCCCGGGCCAGCGUUCUCCGCGAGGCCAACUGCACGCAGGUGACAUCCUGACAGCCAGGGGCAGACCUAGAGUAAAGGGGAGAUUCCUCACAGCAAAUGAGCUCCAAGAGGAAAGGAAAGACAAAGGAGAGCUGAAGGCAAACAGUCACAAGCAAUGAGGCAAGAGGAGCAGAGGAUGGAAAAAAAAGAGAGGAAAGCCAGGUGGGGCAAGGAAAAGAGAUGGACGCUGCGGAAAACCUGAGCUGCGAGGGCCUUUUGUGGGAAGGGGAUGAGCCAAGGUUCUUGACUGGAGGGAGAAGACUGGAGCUUUGAGAAUGGAUGAGAAUGGGUUCAGAAGAGAUGAAGGUUUGGAAGAAGCAAUUGCCAUGGCCUUGGCCUUCCAGAGAUGACCUUCCAGCCAGGGCUGAGUGUAGGUCUCAAGCUGGCACCCCUCCUCCUUGAUAGCGGUGUUUCAGAGCAGGGGCGUGUAGGAGGAAGGAGAAGUCAGCUUCUGAACGGCCUUGGUCAUUGAGGCUCCUGGCAGCCAGGGGCCUCAGCCCUCCCUUGUCACACAAACUGAACUGGACUGGACUGUCCACUGGCUGUUGGCUCAUGACUGAUGACCCAAAUGUCCCAAGGAAAGGAUGUCCGUGUGGGUGAGACCAUCGAGCAUGAGUCAGAAUGCCUGCUCUGGCUCCUCAUGAGACCACGAAGGCCUCCACCUUCUCUCUUCCAGGUUCCUAGGAGCCUGAGGGCCUGGGCUAGCCCCAUACUCUGUCUCCUUCGCCUUCUCAGAAGACCAGGGUAGGUGAUGCCUGCACCUGGGGUAACUGGUGUGGACUGGGCCCUCUGCUUGAUGAGAAAAGCUUUGGCCUGCAGAGACAAUGGGCCCAAGAGAGAACUGAGGGCCGCUGACCUGAGAAGCCCCUUUUAACUGGGUAGGAAGGAAGCUUUCCUCAGGCCUCCCGUGUGCUGGUCAGGAGGAAAGAAGGAGAGAGAGGAGGGGCAGGGUGGAGACCUGCUGGUUGGAGGCAAGGGCCUUCAUUGAUGGGGGGCCCCAGCUUCAUUUGCCAAACCCAGGGGAUGCCUGGAAAGCCAAGGCCAGGAGCCACACAGCGGGUAUUUCCAGCCACAGAGGAGUCCGGGGUUUAGGGCAGCCUCCUCGGCAACUUUCCCAGAGUCCCUGGCUUCCCCUUCCCUAGCUCUUUCCUGUCCCCACCAGAGCUAGUGAGCAGGGAGGCUCAGGGCAAGGGAGAGAAGGUUCAGGGAGGCCUCUGCACAGAGACCCUCAGGCUGCAGGCCUGGCCCCAGCCUGCCCUUCCCUCUUGCCCAGAUCCCUCAGGGCACAGAGGACUCUGAGAAGGGGGCUUACAGGGCUAGAGGACAGAGGGCACAGGGCAAGGCACUACUGAGAGUGAUGGGGGCCAAAAGAGAACCUUCUGCCAACUUGUGCUGAAGGACAGGGUGGGGUGGGUGACCAGGGCUUGAGCCCCUCGGCCCUUAAUCUUGGACCGGCUUCCCUACCCUGAGGUUUUUCUUCCCCUGCAGAAGCCUCCUCAUCCACUCAGCCUCUGCCCUAGCUGUGCUAGCCUGCACUGUCCUCUCCUCUUGCCCCCAGCGUAUGGCGCAGCUGUCCCCGAAACCUCUCUUGUCUGUAAACUUUGACAGGUGGGAAGCUCUCCCUGCUCCACCCUCCCGCUUAGCCCUCACUCCCUUCUUCCAGCUCUGGCCUCAGCCCUCACUCCCCUCAGCCCUUACUCCCCUCUCCUGGUUCUGGCCUUCAUUAGUAUCGAGGCCCAGCAUGUCUCUGACCCCUUGGAGUCCCCAGGUCCUUGCGUGCCCUUUACCUUCCUCCACUGAGCACCAACUCAUCUCCAAGAAGAAACUCUGAUCUCUCCUCAUUUGUCCACACAGCCUCUGAUCUCUGAUCCCAGCUGCCUCCUAGGACUUGGAGCAAUCAAGAGAUAGGGGUGGGGUCACACCUCUCCCUUUCUGCAGCCCCAGGAACCCGGGAGUGGAGGUUACUAGACAGGCUGUGGUCCCCUGCAGCCUCCCUGGAAGGAAGGGUCAGGCCUGAACCAGGAAGUACUGUGUUUCAAACACUCUCAAAUACAGAGAAAGAAACCGGGGACAGGUGCCAACUCUGUGAACAGCUGCCUGAGCAGGCAGGUCACUGUUCCCUGGAAAAGGCUGAGGAGGAAUCUGACUGCCACGAUCAAGUAGGUGAUGGGUCUUAAGCAGAGGAUGGUGACCAGCUGUCUCCUUCUCCUACCACAGUCAGAAUGAGAGGAAACGGGCUUCAAUUGUGGCAGGAAGGAUUUAGGUUAGACGUAUGGGAGAACUUCCUGUGACAGUGUCUACACUGUGUAUCCCAGUUGUUAAUCCAGGUUGAACUCUCCCCUAGAGCUGAUGAGAAUUGCAUGUUGAUGCUUGCUAAUGAGUAACUUGCCUUGCCUGCGAUUAGCAAAGAACCUCUAGUCCUGAGAAUUCUCCUUGUGUCUAGACUGUCCCCAGGGAAGAAGUCCAGAGAGGUCUGGGAGGUACCAGGACGUGGGCCUCCUCUCAGCUCCAAGGAGUUUUUUUGGACAAUUUAGGCCACUGUUAGCCAAUGUCACUUUGUUUCUCUUGCCCCCAGCCCUCUGGCUGCCACUUUCAGAUAAACAAACCCUAUGGAGCUGUCCAGCCACGCAACCUUUGCAGCCAAGGGGCAGGCUGAAUUUAAGGUCUGGAGAGCAAUGGUGAAUACUUGGGGUCUCUGGUACCAGGAGAUUCAGUAACAGCCUCAGCUAAUUCUAUACAUUUCAAAAUAGAUAGGCUUCAACCCUCUUUUGUACCCUCUCACUCCGGUCUCAUGAGUCUUGCUUGGCAGCAUGAACUUUCCCAUUGUGGGAGCCAUUCUGCCACCAAAAUCCCUCUGUUACCCUGUGGCUGACUCCCCCCUCUCUCCUUUCUUUCCUCCCCUAAGUGGCCUGAUCCCCCACCCCCAUUACCACAGCCCUUCUCCAGGUAAGGAGGAAGCUGGAGAGACCUGGGACGAGUCCAUCAAAAUGCCAUCAGAAGAAAAGAAUGCAGACAGAAGAUGGGUUUCAUCAGGAGAAGAGCUUUUCACCCCAUGGUUAGUCUUCCUGAGGUCUGUGUGUGAGCCCACAUGCAUACGCAGUUUGGGUCCAUCCUUCAGCUAGUUGUGGACCAGGUCUACCGUAUGCCUAGUCCUGGGCUAAGAUUGGUGUGGCCAAAAGGAAUAUCAGAUUCAGCUCCUGAUGUCCACAGGAUGUGGAGAUAAAAUCGAGGCCCAUGAAAAGGAGCGUGAUGACCUGUGGAACCAGGGUUCAGAGAGGGGCUGGGGCCCCAAGGGUCAAAGGAGGCUUUGUGGGGGAGAGGGGAUUGUGCUGGGCCUGGAAAAAAGAGCAGAACUUAGAUAAAGAGAAGAGAGGGCAUUCCCGGCAGGAAGAAUGGAGAGAGGGAAAGGAUCAGGGUGGAAAUGAAGUGGGUAUAGCUGGAGCAGACUUCACAUGUGGAGGGCUGGACGUGAGGUUAGAUAGCUAGGGUAUGAGAUCCAGCAGACAGACAAAUUCAGACUCGAUCGAUGGGCAUUAGGGAACCUGUGGUUCUUGGGCAGAGGAGGGCAUUCAGCCACCGUCUGGCAGUGCUGGGCAGGGUGGUCUGGAGCAGGGAGGUGCAGAGGGAAGGCCAGAUGCAGCUAGGAGCCUUCCUGUGUCGGUGGCUGGUGGCCAGACGUGCACCAAUACCUAGGUCCUGUCCCUGAGAUGGCUGGACACCUGAGAAUGCCAGACCCCUGAUGACCUGCUGAGACAGGCUCCACACUUUCCUUGCCAGCAGCUACUCUUUCCUCACUCCCACUGCUUUCCAGACAGCCCUACAACACAACCAACAGCAGGGCUUCCCUGGCUCCUGUCCUGAGAGAGGGGGCCACUUUGGCCAUGCCACUCUCCCAGCCAGUCCUCCUCCUUUUUCCCUCAGAGGCCUGAGGCCCUACCUGACAGCUCAGACUUGCUUGGAAAAGGAUAAAGUGUUGGAUGAGGCCAGGAUUCCUCCAACCUCAGGCCUGAAACCCACAAAGGGAGUCCAGACAUGUCUUGAGGGAAUGAGCUGGGGUCCUAUAUCUAGAAGCUCAGGGUGAGCUGACCUCUCAAGAGCACCUAGACCAACUCCAUAGUCUAUAGCUAAGGGCUUGAAUACCUCCAGGGACGGGACCCUCACCCCCUCUCCAGGCUGAUCCUCUUUAGAUGGUUCUAGUUAUAGAAAGUGCAUCCUCCUUUUCAUCUGAAAGUCUUGCUGUGGUCAGUGUGGGCUGGUGGUGUGAGAGGGCUCUGUUUGGGCUGGGCCUCGCUGGGGGGCUCCUGGAAUGGCACUGCCAGAGGGAGGGUCCACCAGCCUCUUGGGUGGCUUUGGGUCCUGUGGGACCCCCUGCUGCGCCUGUUUGGCGCCCUGGGCUGGGGCCAGUUAAGCGUGAGAAGCACGGGUCGGUUCCCAGCUCCGCCCGGGGGGUGGGGCAGCAGGGGUGGGGCAGCCCUGGUCAGUCCUUCUCAGCCUCACCAGGGAGGCCAGGCUCAGGUCAGCCUGUCGCAAGGGCUGGCCCUCCUGAGGCUGAGAUCAUCGCCCUCCGGCCUCCACGGCAGCCCCCACCCCCAGCUGAGCUCACUGCCCUGGCCCGCUGGGGGACAUUGUUGUCUCCCGGGCCCCUCCCCCGGGCUCAAUGAGCUGUUUGUUGGCAUGUCCGGCUCGGGCAAGGGGAGGGCGGGCAUGGGGCGCCCGCACACAAUGGGGAUUCCGUCCAUUCUGAGGUGGCUGCGGGAACCAGGCUGGCUUUGUCCCUGGGACCCUCAUUCCCACCAUUUAGCGGAGCCGGAACUCCAGGCGGAAGGCCCCGUAUAAGAACAACAAUGUCGUCACCCCGUCUGUGGGGGAAGGCGCUGCAGGCCAGGCCUUCUGGGGCCCAGGGGACCCACAGUCUGAGGCAGCCUGAGGGGCACUUGGGACAGGUCCUAGGGCCGAGGCUGUGCCUCAAAUCUGAGGGAGACUCAGGAGGCAGAGGGGCGCCCCCCACCUGCCCUGCCAGCCCAUCUGCAGCCUGCAGCAACACGGAAGGGGCUCCGGGCAUCCCCAGCCAUGCUCUCAGCUCCUCCACGUGCAGACGGACCCUAAGGUGCAGAAGGGACAAAUGCCUCCUGUGAGCCCCGUUGGGCGGUGUGCCAUAGAGUGGCUGCGUUAGGAGCAGCCUGACCCUCAGGCCUUUCUGCAUCCAACUUGGGCAAAGGCCUUUGCUCAAAGCUGGGCUCAGACCCGUUUCUGGGCCUCUCGCCCGGCCAGCCUACCCCUUCGGAAGUGGCGCUGGCUGCUCAGACAACAAGUGUUUAUUUUCCAGGGUAGGGGGGGAACAGGACGUCACGGCGCUUCCCUCCUGCCCGCUGCUACAGCGGUUCUCACAGUCUGGGCACUGGUGACAUCACCAGCCUUUCCUCUACAGCGCUGGCCUCCUUGCCUCCCCCUCCUCCCCACCCCAGGCUCUGGCCAGGCUGCAGAGUUCUGAAGCUCCUGCUUCCGGAGCGGGCACUUCUGAGCAGGUCCUCAUGGAGGGCGUGAGAGUGGCCGGGAAGUACUGGACCAGCCCCUUGUCACUGCCCUUGGCAUUCAGGCCGGGCCUAGGGAUAGCCCCUCUGGGCUCACCCUCACCAGAUCGGUUGGUGGCCCACCCGGGCACGCUCCUAGUGCGAUGCUGGCCCUUUAAGGGUCUUGGGAAGCCAGAACAACAGGAAAUCCAACCGGCCUCAUUAGGCAGCUCGGAGCUCAGCACAGUAAUUAGUGCCCUGAAAACAAAACAAGGAAAAGCAGGUGGUGGUGCGCCCCCCCUCCAUCUCGGCUGCCCUCGGCGUGGCCUGUUAGUACCCAGAGCUAGGCAGCUGGGAUGGCAGCCCCUCCCUUAUAAGCCUCCCUACCCCAAGCUCCUGAAGCCUGCUGCCCACUGCCCAGGCCAAGGGUCAGAGGCUAAGCUUCUGGGGAGCAGCCAACGGUUUCCCCCUGGGGACUGAAGCCCCAGGGACAUGCACUGGGGCUUCCCCUUUCCCGCAGCCAGGUGGCCACUGUUCCCAGCAUCCUCCACCUGUUUGGAAAAUGCUGUGAUGGGGGCUGGGAGCUGGGUUGGGCUCCUCCAGAGGUAAAGGGGAGACCCCUGGGAAUCCCAGGCCAAGAAGGCCCCCUUAGGAGAAAGGAAAAGCCUGCUCUGUGGUCCUGCAUCUGAGGAUGUCUGGUGAUGCUCCCGGUGGGCAAGACCACUUGGGCAGAGAGGGUGAGAACUUACAGGUCUGGACAGACCCUGAGGACUUGCAAGUCCCCUCAGUUGAUAAAAGCCUAGCCGGGAGCCAAAAGGGACCCUAAUGAGUUCUCGUCAGCCAGGCUGCAGGCCCCAGCUCAUUCUAUCCUCCUCCUCCCCAUUUGAUGCAAUUGGAACCCCACCUUGUCCUGACUCCUAAGCUAUUUCCCUUUAUUUGUACUACUAGGGGAGGGGCAUACUAUGCUCCACUUAUGAAACAAAUAUUCAUUCAACAAACAUUUAUGGAGUGGUUGCAAAUGCUCCCUACACUGUGCUGGUGGGGAGUUCCCAGGAAUUGAAAUGGUACUACCUUGUGAUGGCUCAUUACAGCCCCUCGCUCCGUUUUGAGAAGGCCUUUGAGAGGAGGGACUGUGGCCCUCUCCAUGUGCCCAUACCGCCACAGACCUAGCACUUAGGUGACUGGUACGUGCUUAUAAACAAUCAAAACUGAACCAGGAAUGGUCUCUGACCUCAAAGAGCCUACCAGGUAAGCUGAGUAUCUGGCAUGGCACAGCAGCAGCACCCUAGCAGGCCCCCCCAGCCCGAGGGGAGUCACAGCCCCUGUGCUCAGAGCCCAGAUCUCCCGAGGGCCCUAGGUUUGUGCAGGGCAAGGGCUGAGGGCAUUGUGGGAGAAAGAACCUCUGGUCCUCCUGAGAACAAAGCUGGCGAUGACCCUGGGAUGUAGGGAGGAGCUACAUUGGGCUUGCCUGGACUGCAGGCUGUGGUGGGGGUGGGGGAUGCUGAGUGGGAGAGCUGGGCAGCUUGAGUGUGAACAGUGGCCAGCCUAUGGUCAGUGAAUGGGGCUGCAGUUAAGCUGUGGGUAGGUUUCUGGUCACACUCCUGUUAGCUGAGAACAAAGGCCCCAGGCAUCAUUGCCCAGGGGAUGGGAGAAAGCAGAGGGAGGGCGGGGGUAACCCAGGACCUGCUAUUGGGUUGGGCAGCUGGCCUCCACCUGGGCAGGGAACUCUGCAGGCACCUCUGGAGGCCGCCAGCUAGGUGAUAAUUUCUGAGGGGCUCCAAUCUGGAACUGAGGGGCCAGUGCUGAUGAUAGAGGUUGAGGGGACCAGCCAGCAAGUGACCAGAGUCACAGGGUCGUGGAGCAGGGGUUCUCAUCCCUGACUACACACAAGAGUCACCUGAGCAGCUCCCUAGAGAUUCUGAUACAAUUGGUCUGGGAUGAGGCCUAGGAGGCCCUGGUGUUUUCUAAAGGCUCCCUAAGUGACACGAUGUGCAGAUGGGACUGAGAACUACAGCUCACUGGGAGCAUAGGGCCAGGCUUUCAAUCCUGGGGCCUCACCUGCUCCUCCUCCCACCCAUAGUGCUCAGAGGCCACACUCACUGGACCAAAUAGCAGUAAGUGCCCUUGGCUGAGAGGGAAAUGGGCAACAGAGUCCCCUAGGCCUGGGGGUGGGGCCUUUGGAGCAGUCCUCCCCUUCUUGACCCCCCCCCCAGUGGAAAGUUACCCAAGGAAGCAGCUGUGGGCACAAGCCGAGAAGCCAGGGGGAGGGGUGCCCAUGGGCUGCCCACGGCCUCUCCAAGCCCCUGGGAGGGGACCCUCCAGCCUCACCCCCCAGCCCCCCAGGCUGAGGGACAGCACCCGGAAGGACAGGCUGGGGCUAGGGAGGGAAGAGAGGGAGACUCGGAGCACCUGAGCUGAUGGGGCCUGAUCCCAUUUAGGGAUGUGCGCCGGUCCUGAAUCAUUUCCCGGAUAUAGCUCAACAGCUCAGACUUCAAGGUUUUUUGGGGGGGAAAUCUUUUUUCCAAGUUCCUCGAUCUGUCAUCCCCCUCCCCCACCGGCCGGAUAGGCCUGGACCAGUGUCCUCUCUCAGCUCCCCCUAAGCCUCCCAGCUCAGGCUUCUCCACUGAGCUCGCUGGACAUUGUUUCCCGCCUCAGGAAGUCUCUGAUGCCCUGCACUGGAUUUUGUUUUCCUUGUUAUCGGGACAACUAAUAUUUUUUCCUGUGCGGAAAAAAAAAGAGAUUUUCCCAAGCAGAUUACAGCUGUCAGUGAGGGGGGAGGGGGCUGGAGGUUGAACCCUCCCUUCUCCGUCCCCCUCCCCCUCUGCCACCCUUAGAAGGCUGAGCCUUUGGAUCAAGGAGGAAGCUCUGGCCCCAGAGCCAGCCGGGCCAGUUGGAGCGGGGUGGGGGGGCGACUCUGGCCUUGGCAGAAAAGUCAGACCCCUAUCCUCUGCCUGUGGGGCCCCUGCUCCCUGCUGAGAGGGUUGACCCCUGGGCUGGGCCACAUUUCCAAGGACAGGGAGAGGGCAAAAGGGCAGGCUGCCCCACAGCUGCACGGUGGCUGGACAUGAGGAGAGGCACCCUGGGAGGACGGGGAGCACAUAGGAGCCCCAGCUCUGCCAAGCUGUGUGACUUUGGGCAAUUCCUUCACCUCUCUGUGCCUUGGACCCCUCACCUCCAACACAGACCUAUUGAGACCUGCCUUACCUACCUGAAUGGUUAUGUGUGAGGACACGGAUGAGAAAAGGUAUCUGAUUCAAUGUCAGAGGUUCAUGACUCGGGGAAGAAGGGUUAAUGGCAGGUGUCUCAUUACCUGUGUGACCUAUGUGAGGCCCCCAUACCCAGCAGACCAGAAAACAGAGGCUGUCACUGAGCAGGUUCUGUUGGAACGGCACACCCCAGGCGCUCAUGCACUCGUGUGCACAUAUGUGAAACACACACACACUCGGGCCUGUGCAUUCUUCCUUGACAAACGCUCACUUUCUACUCCGGGGUGUUGUGGUUCUAGGGGCAGGCUGCCUGGGCCUUCGGGGGGCAGCUGCCACAGAACCACCACCGCAGCAGUAGGGCCUAAGAUGACCAAGUUUCUUUUCAAGUUAACAACAAUAAAUGGAAGGGCUUCAGAUGUGGCUGACUCAAUUGUUUGUGGUUUGCGAUGAUUAAGAAAACCAGCCGCCCCCACACCCUGUACCCUCCUGCAAGGUAGAUGGUCUGCUCUGAGAGAGGCUCUCCUGCCUUCACCUCUCAGGGUGGUGGGCUCCACCACGGGCUGUGAGCAGGAGUGAGCAAGACCAUCUGCCCGGGGCGGGAGGAAAUAGGAGGAUUUCUAUAUGGACUUACUUUUUAUCUAAAACAUAAAUUGAACUCUUAUAAUAUUCAAUAUGGGUUUUGACUGUAGUGUAUAAUCUAUACAUAAAUAUUCAUAAUCCAAAAAGUUUGGAGACCACCAGCCAGGAGAUUAGUGAGGGCUUUACCUCCUAUAGAAGCCUGUUUCAGAUUGGGUGCUGGGUGAGGGAAGGGAGCCGUGGAAGAGGGGCUGGUGAGCUCUGGGUGUAGAACUGCUUAGGCCUGGUCACUCUCCUGGAUGCCGCCAGCAGUGUGGACCUUCCUGGCCGCCACUGCCUCCCGUGACCUCCCUUCUCCCUGCCCACCCUCUUGGGCCUGCUUAAGCCCCAGUUGGGUUCUAGGACCUUUGGCUGCCAUGCUCCCUGCAAGGGAGAGAAUGGGCCUGUGCGAUGCUCCCCUCGCCCCCAGGCUAGCUGGAGUGUGGCUGGGGUCCCUGCAGCUGCCCUGUAUGCUGUGUCACCCCCAGGAGAAAAGUCCCUGGCGGGAAGCGGCCCUCUGCCGGGAGGCUGUUUCCUCAACUGGCCAAGGUAAGAAGUGGGGGAUUUCCAGCCCUGUCCACGGGGCUGACUUCAGUACUGGGGGCUCCUCUCCUUUCUCAUGCAGCCCAGGCCGGGGUGAGGACAGAAACUCCAGAGUUAGGCCCGGCUGUUGGCAAGGGACUGAGGGGGCAGCAGAGUCAGCUAAGCCCACAAACCUCCAGCUGCUACUCUCUGCUCUGGAGGGAGCCGAGCCCAGGGCGGAACCCCCCCCCCCAUCAGCUGCACCUGGGACUGGCAGGGACCCAGCCCUGGAAGACCCCCACAGGCAUCUUGGUGGUGGGGCCUGGGGGUAAGGGCUGGAAAUCCAGAGCCGCACUUACUCAUGGGCAUGUGGGGAAUGACUCAAAUCGAUAAAUGCCCCUGCCCAACCCCAGCCUACCCUGGUUCUGGUGGUAAGGGGAAUGGCAGGAAAUCUCACCCGUUGAGUCUCCCCUGCUGGCUGGCACUUCCAAGGGUGCUGCAGAGUCAAAGCAGCUAACAUGGGCCCCUCGGGAGCUGGGAGCCAGGAGCCCCACGCCCCAGACAUCUUGCCCUGAAAGCUUGACCCCCAGGAAAGGGGAGCCGCACCAUAACAGCAUUCCCUGUAUUUCUGUACUGUGCUUAGCUGGGCAGGGAGGGUGGGUGCCAUCCUUGGGGCUGAGUGGAGGGAGAGGUAGGCAGUUGUGGUGACCUGGUGAUGGUGGUCAUGCAGAUGUCCCAGCUCCAAUGUCAGCCCGCUCAGGCCCAGGUGUGGGCUUAGGAAACAGUUAGACUCCUUCUCCACCUUCAUGGAGAGUCUCCCAUGCCUCAGACACUUGUGAGUUUCAUUUCAUUUCCUGGCUCGUAUGUGUUUGCUGUGUGUGUGUGCAUAUGUGCUUUGUGCACACGUACGCACACUAUUAGGCUUGUGGGAUGGAGGCGUGCAGGGACUCAUGCAAGGUCCCUGGGCAGGAGAGUAUCUGAGCUGAGAGGUGAAACAAUAAAUCCAGCCACCAUCAGUGCAGGCUAGCAACAUGCCAUGAUGACGUACAUGCAUUAUCACCAGUCGACACAGUGACCAGUCCUCGGAGGAAGGUCUUAUUAUCUUCCUUUUACAAAUCAAUAAACUGAGUGAAGCUUAGAGAAGUUAGAUGACCAGCCUGAGGUCACACAGUGAGCAAAUCCAGGCCAGGAUUUGAACCCAGGUCAGUCUAAGGCCAAGCUGGAGAUCUCGCUGCCAAGCUCUCUCAGCGUGGUCCUCCUCAAUUACGCUCCAUCUGCUCCUCGUCUCUGAGGCCCUGGCUGCCCUGGUCUGAGGUGACAGGCCCUUCCUCUCUCUUUGUUCCCUCCCUUCCAGUCAAGGUGGCAAGGCAGAACCUUUUGAAGGACGCGUGGAGCCCAGGACGCUGUGCCCAGACCUUCACACAUCAAGCCAGUCCCCAGUUCAGAGAGGGUCUGGCUGACCCUGGGCGGGAUCAGCGAGGGCUGAGCUGGGGCAGCUGUUUACAGUAAACAGAAAGCUCCUGAGGAAGGAAGGAGGGGAGGGGCUGGGGUCGUCAUGGAGACAGGGAAGAGCAGCAGGGCCUCAGCCGAGAUCCACAAUGACUGACUGGUAAUGCAUCCCCGCCCCUUCUAGAGCCAGAGGAGGCCCAAGGAAGGUCCACAGAGGGCAGCCUGAGCAGGAGCGGCAGGGGCAGACAGGGUGGGCCUCAGAGCACGGCCCACUAACACACUCCCCCUCAUCAUGUAUUUCUACUUAUUAUUAACAAUAACAUCUACUGUUUAUUGAGCUUGUAUAGCAUGCCUGGUGCUGUUUAACCCUAACAGCAGCCAGGAGGGAGGUACAAUAAUAGUUUCUAAUUUAUAGAUAAGGAAAUUGAGGUUCAGAAAGAUUAAGCGGUUUGUCAAGGUCACACAACUAGUAGGUAACAGAGCAAAUAAUUAUGGAUCAAAAACUCUUUUUACCGAGGCAGGUAGAAGAUGAGGUAGCUGGUGAAGCUUUGAGCCCCUCAGCCGGUGGGGAAACUGAGUCCUUUGGGUACCAAGGGGACUUUCCCAGGCUUCUUGAGUUAGUCAAAGAGAUUGCUGGGGACAAAACCUAUGUGUUCCAGCCCUAACCACUAGACCACACGGCCUCUCCAUGGCUUGAGCUGGGAAGGUCCAAAGAGAAACUCCCUUUCCAGCCCCAGCCUGGAGUGUAGACUCUUCCCCUGCUAACAGGCUGGCCCUGUGGAGGCCGGGCUGGGCCAGGGUGCCGUGGGGGAUGCUGGGGGGUUUCUGCCCACACAUAUGGUUUCCAGAUUCCAGGGGAUGAAAAGGAGGCCCUUAGGGGCGGAAAUGGGGGAUGUGCGAUGACAAAUUUAGACUGAUUGCGUUAAAAAAAAACGCCGAGAAACCCUAAAAAAUAAAAGCAAAAAUUCCGCUAGAAAACCAAAGGGAAUUAUUUGAUUGUGAAACUGAGGGCGGUGAGGCGCAGCACGGUUUAAUGUAGAACAGUAUCAAGGGUUCUUCGGACUUCAACUGCUCAGAGGAUGGAGGGAGAUGGGGAGGUUCUGUCUGCUGUUCCUGGCUUCACCCGCUGGGCUUUGGGACAGGGAUGGAGUUGGGCAGGGCACCUGGGCGGAUGUCUGGUGUCAGGAGCACUUGGUGGUGGUGGGGGCUCUCCUGAAAGGCUUGGGCCCUCCAGAUAGCUAGACUCCAAGGGUCCUGCUGGCUUGUGGCCGAGGGUCCCCACUGGCUCACAUAGGGAGCUGUCCCAGGGGAGGCCCCAGUGGGUCUGUACCUGAGAGCAUGUGAAAGGAUGAGCUAUAAGGUAGGGGUUUGGGGUGUCUCCUAGUCCCAGGCUUAAAGGGAAAUGGCCAGGAACAGAAGGUAAAAGAGAGGACAACUGCCUGGAAUUCUGGCCUGUAGCAGGCCUAAGGGGUCAAAGGUCAAGGGGAGGACAAGGGGGACUUCCUAAGGUUCCCAGGGGACUGCCAGCCAAACAGGCAGCCAGCAAGCCAGGCUGUUGUGCAAGUUCUGGGCUGGACCAUGAGGGCAGGCUGGCAGAAGAGCCACGCCUGGCCCAGCCCCCGCCCGGCCUAUCCGAUCCAUGCUCUGGAGCUGGAGUAGUGCCCACUCGCCCACUCUCCUCCAGGAAAGCAGGACUCCGCCCCCCCAAGGUAACACUCCUGUCCCUCUGCGGCCAUAUUCUAUAUGCCUGAGGGCUUCCUCUCUCAUACCCAUCCUGAGCCUCUCUUCCCCAGAAUCGUGGUCUUUUGAGAAACCAGAAAAACCUUCUCAAUUAAGCCUCUUUCUUCUGACUCCACUCUGAUUCCCCGAGAGAUGAGAGGGGUUUUUGAGGGCAGAGCCACGACAGGGGUCAUGGGGUCCCAGAGGAAUGAGGCUCAGAGAAAGUGGAAGAGAAGCAAGCCGACAGGAAGUGCUCAGCGGGCAGGCCCUGGGCUGAUUUUGUAGAUGCGCUGCCCUCUCUCCUUGAAGCUUCACUUGGGUCUCUCAAGGUCUGUUCUAUUUAUUUACAUUUUAUAGGUGAAGAAGUUGAGGUUCUGAGGAUGUGAUUAAACAGACAGCUGAUACACGGCAGAGCAGAGAGUUGCACUUGCUCUUUCCAGAUCACCUCCCUGUCCCUCAGCUCGACCCACUUUGGCUGGAGAUGGAGAGGGAGCACAAGGAAGGCCUAGGACAGCGUUUGGUUCCCAGUGGUCAUGGGAUCACUGCUGACUGAUGCUGAAUCUUGUGGAGAAGGGACUGGAUCCUGGAUGGAGCUUUGUGUCAGCUACCAAGUUCUCCUCUUACAUUCAGCAUCUGUAAAAUCAGGAGGUGGAGGAGAAAGCUGAGGGCUCCAGCUGCCCAAGAACUAGAACUAUCUAGCAUCUUCUUUCUCUCCCACUGCCCACCCGAGGCCUGCCUCUCACCACCAUUCAUCCUCAACCUGCUCCAGGGCCCAGCCUGGCUCCAUGUAAGCAAAGCUGCCAGCAGGGUCCUUUGUGGUGCUGCUCCCGUGUGGCACUGCCUAGGGGCCCCACCAUGGGGCAACAGAUGGACCUAUGGUCUCUACAGAACAAUAGUGGGGGAGGGGCCCUGGCAUCGCCCGCCCCAAACAGGAAGCGCUGCAUGAGCUUCAAAGAACUGGCAGGGCCAAGGGGCUGAGUGGCUGGAGCCAGUGCCAGGACCGGCGGCUGCCUGAAGAGAUGCCUGCCAGCCUCAGGAUGCCCAGCCUGCAGUGGGGGUGGGGCUGCAGUGGCCAGGGCAGCUGGGUCUCCGGCAGACGAGGCUUUGCACCCUCAGUGAAGCAGCCACUGACCUGAGACAGGCUGAGGGAAGGGGGCUCAGACACCAGGCUGUUUCCUGGACCUGCUGCCACUAGCUAGCGGGGCUGCAGGUUCUUUCCCAGGCCACAGUGGGUCUGGCCCUCCAGCAAGUAACCAUGAGGGGCAGGGCUGGCACCAAGCCUGCACCCACUCCCUGCCUCCUGCUCCCAGCUGCUCUGCUCAGAGCCUUUUCCUCUCCACUUCCUGUUCACACAGGGGGGGGCGGGAAGUGGAGGGAGGAAGUUGGGGGGAGGCGUGUAGGGGGGACCCAUUGAAUAAAAGGAAUUAACCGUUUCCCUCCUCUGACCUCUGGGAAUUUCCGCCUGUGAAAGUGUCUCGAAGAAUCUGCAGAGCUGGGGGAGUGGGGAGGAGGUGUGCCCCUCUUGGCCCUCUCUCCCUCCCCCGGUGGUGGUGGGGCCAGAUAACUCCCUCUGGGCUCUCUAACCUUUUGUUUCCCUGGCGCCAGGGGGGCAGCGCCCAGGGCAGCCCGGAGCCUGAUGGCCUCAGAGCCCCCUCCCAAUCAAUGGGGUUGGUGCAGCCGGCCUGCGACGCGGGCCCUGGGGUGGGAGUGGGGCAGGAACGGCGAGAAUUGGUGGUCCCGGGGGCAUGAGCUCACACUCAGGCUGGCCAGCCUCUGAGCCCCGCGUCCUCCAUGCCAGGGCUAGCGCCCUUGGCGUGUGCCUUGGGGAAAGAAAGGAGGACGGCCAGGGGCAAGCCGAACCUCAGACACCGCUCGGCACACCCUCUGAUGGCCACUCCCCCUGGAGCUGUGAAAGAGAGCUGGAGUUCGGGAAGCCAGCAGACAGCGCCCCCUAGUGCCCGCUGCCGACUUAGCCAGGCGGCCCCCCAGGGCCCUCAAGGGCGGGCCUCAGGAAGCACCUGCUCCCAGGACCAGUGGCCGCCCUGCUCUCCCCCAGGUGGCUUCCUUGUUUACAGGCCUCCUGCCCUGAUCCCAGCGUCACUGCCUGUGGCCACUCCUCCUAUUUCCAGUGACCUCUCCAGAAGCAGCUCAUUCAUCUUGGCCCCUGCCCACGCAGCUGCUCCCCCACCCCACCCCCUUCUGGCCCUCCCCCAGGCUUAGGGCCAAGGCCCUCAGGGCCUUCUCACUCUCCUCCAUUCCAGGCCUUGCUUGGUUUCCAGGGAUCUAAGAGCUGUGGUUUCCCGUUGCCCUGACUCAACGGAACCCCAUUCUGUCAGUGCCAGGGAAGCCUGGGGCCUUUUUCCAGGAAAGAGGAAGAAGCUGAGGGCCAGAUGGGUAGGCUUAGGAGAGGACAGAAGGGGCAGGGGCGUCGCAGGCUGUCUUAGCCAAGUCCUGUGAGAGGAGGGAGCGAUAGGGCAGUGUUUGUUUAACUAACAUGUGUUAGGCACCCAUUAUGCGCAAAGACAGAAGCCCCAAGCUGUUCUAAGUCAGCAAGUGACCACACCAAUGGCAGGCCAAGGUUUAUACCUAAUACUCACUGACAGUGGGGAGCAGUACCCCUGAGCCCUCCACUGGGCAGGUGAGGGGAGCCUUAGGCCCCAUGGGGAGAGGAAAGGAGCAGGAGCCCUCCAAAUCUUCCUGGAAGAGUGGAAAGGAAGCAGGAUUAGAAUGCCCUCUACUCACCCAGUGGGACCCACACACACACAUUUGCUCCCGCUCUUGCUUCUGGAGGAGGAUGGGUAAUCUGAGGCUUAUCAAAGAUGGGCAGCUUCUAGCCCUGUCGGUUGGCAGAGUGCAUGAAGAGACCCUGUUCUAGUGGCUGGGGAGCACGGCAGGGCAAGGUUCCACCAGAACUGCAGGAGACAAGUUUUGGAAGAGGAUUAGGCUGCAGGGGAAAGAAGCCUGCAGUCACCAGCCAGGUGGCCUGACCCCAGCCUGAUUCCAGGAACACUCAUGAUUUUGCUUCAGCCUGGGCAGCUGACAGACCACACCCAGAGAGCCAGGUAGUGGACUAUGAACACCAGUCCAGGGUGCAAAGGGUGCUCAGCUGAUGUCACAGGAAGGUCCUGCUCCAGAACUCCCUAGGGCUUAGCCUCCAGCUACAACUGAAGAAGUGUAAUCUGGGGGGAGGGGCAGGUCACAGGAGCUAGAUGGGAAGAAAACAGAUCUUCCAAAUGCCAUGGAUGGUGGCAGUGGCAGUCUCAACAAUAAAUGCCAGAGAGUGCAAGGGCAGAAUCAAAGCCAGGAAGCAGCUGGGAACGCUGGGAUCCAGGGAUCUGGGCAAGGAAAAUCCAGCAUGCUAAGGGCGAGUAGCGGGAGGAAGAAUGAGAUUUCUGGUUAGGCAGUGGAGACUCCCAGAAAAUUCUUGGGACAACUAGGGAGGGACCAGACUGAGGAAGCUCUAGUGGAGAAGGUGACUUGAGAAAUCAGCGCCCCGAGCUGCCUGAGUGCGGAGGAUUCUGUGGGGAGCAGCACCACCUGCUGGCCAGAGGGAAGAACAGUCUCGACCUCGAGACAGGAUGGUGGGCCGUAAUUCCCAACAGAAGCCUGGAGUCAGAGAGGAUGGAGAGACAAGGAAGCGAGCAGAAAUGGCAAAAUCGUCCUGUCAAAUCUCCAGGUGAAGGAGUGAGGGCCAAGGUUUGAAGGGA